ACAUCAGCCAUACCACCCUGAACACGCCCGAUCUCGUCUGAUCUCGGAAGCUAAGCAGGGUCGGGCCUGGUUAGUACUUGGAUGGGAGACCGCCUGGGAAUACCAGGUGCUGUAAGUG
ensembl:rRNA 5S_rRNA 5S ribosomal RNA